UUCGUGUUUUUGUUUUUUUUCGUUUUCUAUCCUUUUUUUAGAAAAGUCAAAGAACAUCUUCUCACUUUUUUUCCCCCAAAGGGGGAAUAACGAGUUGAACCGAACCGGACCAGGGACUGCGGGACCGAAAAAAGGAAAACAAAAAAAAGUUUGGGAUGUUAUUUGGGGUUUUCUGACGGACUGAACUACGGAAACGAAACAAAACGCAUCAUAUA
rnacentral:ribozyme from 1 species